AAAGUCCCCUUCGGGGGGCAAGUAGAGUGGCGCCCGGGUGAGUAACACGUAGGUAAUCUACCUUUGGAUUGGGAAUAACCACCGGAAACGGUGGCUAAUACCGAAUAAUGCAGCGGCACCUAAUGGUGACAGUUGUUAAAGCGGGGGAUCGCAAGACCUCGCGUCUGAAGAGGAGCCUGCGGCAGAUUAGCUAGUUGGUAAGGUAACGGCUUACCAAGGCGAUGAUCUGUAGCCGGCCUGAGAGGGCGGUCGGCCACACUGACACUGACAUACGGGUCAGACUCCUACGGGAGGCAGCAGUCGGGAAUUUUGGGCAAUGGGCGCAAGCCUGACCCAGCAACGCCGCGUGAAGGAUGAAAUCCCUCGGGAUGUAAACUUCGCAAGAACGGGAAGAAUAAGUAAGAGCUAACAUCUCUUAUGAUGACGGUACUGUUUGUAAGCUCCGGCUAACUCCGUGCCAGCAGCCGCGGUAAUACGGGGGGAGCAAGCGUUGUUCGGAUUUACUGGGCGUAAAGGGCGCGUAGGCGGCACCGCAAGUCGACUGUGAAAUCUCCGGGCUUAACUCGGAAAGGUCAGCCGAUACUGCGGGGCUAGAGUGCAGAAGGGGCAACUGGAAUUCUCGGUGUAGCGGUGAAAUGCGUAGAUAUCGAGAGGAACACCUGCGGCGAAGGCGGGUUGCUGGGCUGACACUGACGCUGAUGCGCGAAAGCUAGGGGAGCGAACGGGAUUAGAUACCCCGGUAGUCCUAGCCUUAAACGAUGAAUGCUUGGUGUCUGGGGUUUUAUAGUCCCCGGGUGCCGUCGCUAACGCUUUAAGCAUUCCGCCUGGGGAGUACGGUCGCAAGACUGAAACUC
rnacentral:rRNA from 1 species